GACAGAGAGUGCAAACGUUGUUCGGAAUUACUGGGCGUAAAGCGCGUGUAGGCGGUUCGGUAAGUCGGAUGUGAAAGCCCCGGGCUCAACCCGGGAAGUGCACUCGAUACUGCCGAGCUAGAGUAUCGGAGAGGUUGGUGGAAUUCUCGGUGUAGAGGUGAAAUUCGUAGAUAUCGAGAGGAACACCGGUGGCGAAGGCGGCCAACUGGACGAAUACUGACGCUGAGACUCGAAAGCGUGGGGAGCAAACAGG
rnacentral:rRNA from 1 species